rnacentral:rRNA from 1 species
CAGCCGCCGCGGGAACACAGAGGGUGCGAGCGUUAAUCGGAUUUACUGGGCGUAAAGCGUGCGUAGGCGGCUAAUUGAGUCGGAUGUGAAAUCCCCGAGCUUAACUUGGGAAUUGCAUUCGAUACUGGUUAGCUAGAGUGUGGGAGAGGAUGGUAGAAUUCCAGGUGUAGCGGUGAAAUGCGUAGAGAUCUGGAGGAAUACCGAUGGCGAAGGCAGCCAUCUGGCCUAACACUGACGCUUAGGUACGAAAGCAUGGGGAGCAAACAGGAUUAGAUACCCCGGUAGUCCCUGUCUCUUAUAA